rnacentral:rRNA from 1 species
UACGAAGGGGGCUAGCGUUGCUCGGAAUUACUGGGCGUAAAGGGCGCGUAGGCGGGUCGUUAAGUUGGGGGUGAAAGCCCAGGUCUCAACCCUGGAAUUGCCUUCAAUACUGGCGACCUUGAGUAUGGCAGAGGUGUGUGGAACUCCGAGUGUAGAGGUGAAAUUCGUAGAUAUUCGGAAGAACACCAGUGGCGAAGGCGACACACUGGGCCAUUACUGACGCUGAGGCGCGAAAGCGUGGGGAGCAAACAGG